UCCCCGGUAGCUCAAUUGGCAGAGCAUCCGGCUGUUAACCGGAGGGUUGUCAGUUCGAAUCUGACCCGGGGAGUCA
rnacentral:tRNA from 1 species